GAUGAAGAACGCAGCGAAAUGCGAAAAGUAGUGUGAAUUGCAGAAUUCAGUGAAUCAUCGAAUCUUUGAACGCACAUUGCGCCCCUUGGUAUUCCGAGGGGCAUGCCUGUUCGAGCGUCAUUAUAACCCCUCAAGCUCAGCUUGGUGUUGGGGCCUGCUGCACUGGCAGCCCUUAAAAUCAGUGGCGGCGCCAUCUGGCUCUAAGCGUAGUAAUUCUUCUCGCUAUGGAGUCCUGGUGGAUGCUUGCCAUCAACCCCCAAUUUUUCUAUGGUUGACCUCGGAUCAGGUAGGGAUACCCGCUGAACUUAAGCAUAUCAAUAAGCGGAGGA
rnacentral:misc_RNA from 1 species